rnacentral:lncRNA from 1 species
GCCCGUGCCGACAUCUCCAUCAAUGUGAUCAGCAUUGGGGAGAGCUGGGAGUUCCAGUCCUGUUCAUCUUUAUCUCCUACAUCUUCAUACUCUCCACCAUCCUGGGGAUCCCCUCUGCCGAGGGGAGGAAGAAGGCCUUCUCCACCUGCUCUGCCCACCUCACCAUGGUGAUCAUUUUUUAUGGGACCAUCCUGUUUAUGUACGGGAAGCCCAAGUCCAAGGACCCACUGGGGGCAGACAAGCAGGACCUUGCAGACAAACUCAUCUCCCUCUUCUAUGGGGUGGUGACCCCCAUGCUGAAC